AAUAGUGUGCUGUGGAGAUGACACAUCUCGUCGUGGGUGUGGUGCACCUCAUCCUGUGGCCUAGUGUGAUCACAUAUAUAGACCGCAUCGGUGAAGCUCAAGUUGCGGCCUACCGCCCCAAUCAAGUCCUACGCCAAUUUGGGUUCAAUGAUUUAGGUGCUCGGUUUCUAUGUUCCUCAGGAGAAGAUGUCUUUUGGGUCUGCCAAGAUGAUCUAGCAUUUCCCGAAGGUUCCUGGUUCCCCAUUGCAGGGUAUGCGAGGGUCUAGAGUUGCAAGUCUCUCCAUUUCGCCUAUCUCUGUGCCUUGUUCAGGGGUUUACAAAUUUAUGUGAUCAAACCCCCGCCCUCACCAUGUCUUGGCUCCUCCUGAGGGCCAUGAUCAAGAGCAGCCACCAGCCAAUCCCCCACCUAGCUUGCCAAAGGGAAAAUUCAUGGGUGUGCUUUGAAAGGGGAAGCGCCCCAUCGUUGAAGAGGGGGAAGGUAGUCAUCCUGUAGUGAAGAGACCUAGAUCAGCGAGGGUGCCUCGCACUGCUUUUCCGCCUACACUAGCUGUACCGUGUGCCCCCACAUCAGACAUAGUGUCAUCCUAGGUUGGGGACAAUCCAGGCAGACGUUCUCCACAAUCGGACCAAGAGGAGGUCAGGCCAGAGCCUCCAGUCCCCACGCCUGAAGCAAGGAAUGCACUUGAUACAGAGUCAACACAGUCAACAGAGCUUAUUCUUGUUGAGAAAGUUACCUCUGUCCGCAUCUCGGGUGGACGUGUGAAGAAGAUUGCUCCCCGUCCUCGACGGAGGGAGCCUGAAAAAGUCGAUUUGUCUUUUGUUUUGAAGUGUGUAGAGGUUGAGGGCACCCAGUCGGGCACUGAGACUCCAUAAGUCUCCUGCGAUGAUGUUGUGGGUGAAAAGGUGCCUUUCGAUGUCAAUCCUGCUACCAUACCAAUUUCGCCGAUCAUCAGGUGACUAGUUUGCGAGUUACAAUCGUCGCAGCCCCCCAGUCAGGGUCGGGAGGUGAGUGAAAACCCUUCUAGCGACCUAGUUGAUGUUGAAGUAACUAAGGGCCUUGGCAUUGAUGGUACUACUCAAGCUGCUAUCACUCUAGAAGAAGAAGCUCCCACGGAUGCGUCGAAACAGAUAUGUGAUGGCCUGGUUUGUCAAACCGAAGUUGCUCCAGAAGGCCCAUCGGUUAACGAUGCUCCUAAACCGCUAGUUUCUAGGUUGCGGCUGCUUGAUACUGAGGCUCAAGAACCCACUAUGGCUGAGGUGCUGACUGAGGCACCGUGUGAGACGAUAGCGUUAGACAUUCAUAAUGGGGAAAGGGUUAUAUCUGCUGACCCUGUUGAGACUGAUGUUCCCGUAGGUUCAGAGGUCCAGCCCGAGAGUGAGACUACAGGCUUCGAGGCGAGAUCGCCAGUCGAGGUGUUGUCAUAUGGCGAAGAGCUUGGACUAGUCUAGGAGGAGCUUAAGGAGUACUGUGCCAAGAAUGACAUCGACCCUCUGGGCUAUGCUAUCAUAGACCUUGUCCAUAUCCAAGGUCCUCGUAGAAAUGACAAGUAUUCUGUAUCUAACUCAGUGGCAAAUUUUGCUUUAGUCAUCAUUUAGAACGGCUGGUUACCAUCCACUGACAUCCUCCCGGUGGUUAUAGGGACGACCCUAAACACUAUCAUAGCGAUGCAUCACGAAUCAAUCUAGCGACGAGCUCUCGUAAUUUGAGUUCGCUCAAUGGUUGAGGACUUGCGAGUUUCUUUCUGCUUUCAAAUUAGACCUGUUCAUGGGC